CCUACGGGAGGCAGCAGUGGGGAAUAUUGGGCAAUGGAGGAAACUCUGACCCAGCAACGCCGCGUGAAGGAUGAAGGUUUUCGGAUUGUAAACUUCUGUCGCGAGGGAUGAAGAAUGACGGUACCUCGUAAGAAAGCCCCGGCAAACUACGUGCCAGCAGCCGCGGUAAUACGUAGGGGGCGAGCGUUGUCCGGAAUGACUGGGCGUAAAGGGAGUGUAGGCGGGAUAGCAAGUCAGAUGUGAAAUCCUAUGGCUUAACCAUAGAACUGCAUUUGAAACUGUUAUUCUAGAGUAUGGGAGAGGUAGGUGGAAUUCUUGGUGUAGGGGUAAAAUCCGUAGAGAUCAAGAGGAAUACUCAUUGCGAAGGCGACCUGCUAGAACAUAACUGACGCUGAUGCGCGAAAGCGUGGGGAGCAAACAGGAUUAGAUACCCGAGUAGUC
rnacentral:rRNA from 1 species